rnacentral:rRNA from 1 species
GACGAACGCUGGCGGCGUGCUUAACACAUGCAAGUCGAACGGAAAGGCCCUGCUUGCAGGGUCCUCGAGUGGCGAACGGGUGAGUAACACGUGGGUGAUCUGCCCUGCACUUCGGGAUAAGCCUGGUAAACUGGGUCUAAUACCGGAUAGGAUCCAUUUUUAGUGUGAUGGUUGGAAAGUUUUUUCGGUGUAGGAUGAGCUCGCGGCCUAUCAGCUUGUUGGUGGGGUAAUGGCCUACCAAGGCGGCGACGGGUAGCCGGCCUGAGAGGGUGGACGGCCACAGUGGGACUGAGAUACGGCACAGACGCCGAAGGGAGGCAGCAGGGGGGAAUAUUGAACAAGGGGCGCAAGCCGGAUGCAGCGACGCCGCGGGGGGGAUGACGGCCUUAGGGUUGUAAACUCCUUUAGCUAGGGACGAAGCUUUUUGUGACGGUACCUAGAGAAGAAGCACCGGCUAACUACGUG